rnacentral:rRNA from 1 species
UACGUAGGGUGCGAGCGUUGUCCGGAAUUAUUGGGCGUAAAGGGCUCGUAGGCGGUUUGUCGCGUCGGGAGUGAAAACACCGGGCUUAACUCGGUGCUUGCUUUCGAUACGGGCAGACUAGAGGCAUGCAGGGGAGAACGGAAUUCCUGGUGUAGCGCUGAAAUGCGCAGAUAUCAGGAGGAACACCGGUGGCGAAGGCGGUUCUCUGGGCAUGUCCUGACGCUGAGGAGCGAAAGUGUGGGGAGCGAACAGG